ensembl:lncRNA
CUGAAAUCAAGACAUCGGCCAAGCCUGGCUCUUCCCUGGAGAUUGUGGGAAAGAACCUGCCUCUCAGGCCAUUCCACUGUUGGCAGAGUUCACUUCUUUGUGUGGGGAGAAGAGAUUUCAGGCACAGGAAGUUCUUGUGAUAGCUUUCUUCAGAGAUGGAGGAAGGCUUCAAGGAGCUGAGAGUGGCCCCCAGCUGACAGUCAGCAAAGACUGGGAACCUCAAUUCUAUACCUGCAAGAACUGAAUUUUGCCAACAAUUAAAUGACCUUGGAGGUCUCCUGCUAAACUCUCACUCCAUAUCACCUCUCAAAUGACAUCACAGGCAGGUAUUAUUCCUACUUGCACAGAAGGACACUGACGCUUGGCAAGGCUAACUUGUCGAGAAUCACACAAGGAGUAGUAAUUGCAGAAACAGAAUGCAAGCCAAGGAGUGCUUGAUGCCAAAGUCUGAGCAGGUGAAACAGUCUCAAGAUGCCCAGUUUAAGUCUUGCUCCUCUGAUUAUGUUUGCUCCCUCCUCCAAACUUUCAUAGAAAACCAACUCACCAUAGCUUGCCUUUCUAGGACAUUAUUUGUUUAUGUACCAAGAAGUCCAGAGGUGGUACAGCAGCUGAUAGACAAGAAGGAUCACCACAUCAUUGUCCUAAGGGUGUAGACACAGCAGACCGUAUUUCCCAAAGAUGGAUUCAAUGAUAUAACCAGGCCCUGCGGCGAGGGAGCCAAGCGCUACUUCUGUAGACACAAAGCAUGGAUGGUGGCCAGAACCCACUCUGAAAGGCAGCGUCACACAGGCGAAUCACUUCUACCCUGCGCCUCGGUGUGACCUGUGCAUCUGUGGAAGGAAAGGUUUUCUUCUGGCUCCUUGGCACAGAGCAGCCGGAGCAGAAAGGAAGUGCUGGGUGCUGGCCAGCAAGUUGUGGAGGCUGUGUGGUGCCCAAGUCAGACUCAGCACCACCUCUAGCCACUGAUACUGGGAUCUGGCAAACAAGCCCUAAUCACUUAAUGAGCAAUGAAAAUGGUGCCUCCUUCCUCUACUUAAUUGCCCCUUUGAAAACAACACACAGGAGAUUUAUGGUCCCACCAUAAUUGCCUCAUAAAAC